rnacentral:tRNA from 1 species
UGCGCCGCUAGCUCAAUUGGAUAGAGCAUCGGUCUACGGAACCGAAGGUUCCUGGUUCGAGUCCAGGGCGGCGUGU